rnacentral:misc_RNA from 1 species
AUUAAAUUUAUUCUCUGAGUAUUUAUAUGUAUUAAUUUACUGCAUUACAAAAAAAAAAAUAUUUUUAAAUUGCUCCUAAAAUACUUUUCGGCAAAAUUAAACCUGAAUCGAUAUGUAAUGCUGCUUUCAUUUUUAUGAAUUUUACAGUAAAUUUACUACAAUUUAUUAGAAUCAUUUACAGUUUAUUUAAGUAAUCUCCAUUAAGGCCAAUUUUACCAUGGACACGUGUCUAUGAAGUGGUUAGGUUCGUUGUUUCUUGAAGUUUACAAAUUUUUUAAUAAAUUGAAGUUUAAAAUAACAUAAGAUAAAGAGAUAUUUUUAAACAUAUGGAAGAUUUCAUUUAACAAGCAAGAAUACACAGAAUCAAUUACAAAUGAUAGUGGAUAUACAAUGGAGGAUAGUUUGUUUGGGAUAGAGAACCAGGGAGAGAAGAACUUGAGAAAUUUUGCGAGAGAAUGGCGAAAGAGAGAGGAGAGAGA